rnacentral:tRNA from 1 species
GAAAAUGUGCCUGAACUCAAGGGUCAUUAUGAUAAAGUGAACACAGAGGUACACUAACCCUCUCAUUUCCU